AUUGAACGCUGGCGGCAGGCCUAACACAUGCAAGUCGAGCGGCAGCGGGAAAGUAGCUUGCUACUUUUGCCGGCGAGCGGCGGACGGGUGAGUAAUGCCUGGGAAAUUGCCCAGUCGAGGGGGAUAACAGUUGGAAACGACUGCUAAUACCGCAUACGCCCUACGGGGGACCGCAGGGGCCCUUCGGGCCUGGCGCGCUUGGAUAUGCCCAGGUGGGAUUAGCUAGUUGGUGAGGUAAUGGCUCACCAAGGCGACGAUCCCUAGCUGGUCUGAGAGGAUGAUCAGCCACACUGGAACUGAGACACGGUCCAGACUCCUACGGGAGGCAGCAGUGGGGAAUAUUGCACAAUGGGGGAAACCCUGAUGCAGCCAUGCCGCGUGUGUGAAGAAGGCCUUCGGGUUGUAAAGCACUUUCAGCGAGGAGGAAAGGUUGAUGCCUAAUACGUAUCAACUGUGACGUUACUCGCAGAAGAAGCACCGGCUAACUCCGUGCCAGCCGCCGCAGUAAGAC
rnacentral:rRNA from 1 species